rnacentral:rRNA from 1 species
UGAGUAACCUGCCCUUAACUCUGGGAUAAGCCUGGGAAACUGGGUCUAAUACCGGAUAUGACUCCUCAUCGCAUGGUGGGGGUGGAAAGCUUUAUUGUGGUUUGGAUGGACUCGCGGCCUAUCAGCUUGUUGGUGAGGUGAUGGCUCACCAAGGCGACGACGGGUAGCCGGCCUGAGAGGGUGACCGGCCACACUGGGACUGAGACACGACCCAGACUCCUACGGGAGGCAG